rnacentral:rRNA from 1 species
CGGUAAGGUGCGAGCGUAUCCGGAAUUAUUGGGCGUAAAGAGCUCGUAGGCGGUUUGUCGCGUCUGUCGUGAAAGUCCGGGGGNUUAACCCCGGGAUCUGCGGUGGGUACGGGCAGGACUAGAGUGCAGUAGGGGAGACUGGGAAUUCCUGGUGUAGCGGUGGAAUGCGCAGAUAUCAGGAGGAACACCGAUGGCGAAGGCAGGUCUCUGGGCUGUAACUGACGCUGAGGAGCGAAAGCAUGGGGAGCGAACAGGAUUAGAUACCCUGGUAGUCCAUGCCGUAAACGUUGGGCACUAGGUGUGGGGACCAUUCCACGGUUUCCGCGCCGCAGCUAACGCAUUAAGUGCCCCGCCUGGGGAGUACGGCCGCAAGGCUAAAACUCAAAGGAAUUGACGGGGGCCCGCACAAGCGGCGGAGCAUGCGGAUUAAUUCGAUGCAACGCGAAGAACCUUACCAAGGCUUGACAUGUUCUCGAUCGCCGUAGAGAUACGGUUUCCCCUUUGGGGCGGGUUCACAGGUGGUGCAUGGUUGUCGUCAGCUCGUGUCGUGAGA